rnacentral:rRNA from 1 species
AUUAAGAUAGCUUGCUAUUUUUAUGAAGAGCGGCGAACGGGUGAGUAACGCGUGGGAAAUCUGCCGAGUAGCGGGGGACAACGUUUGGAAACGAACGCUAAUACCGCAUAACAAUGAGAAUCGCAUGAUUCUUAUUUAAAAGAAGCAAUUGCUUCACUACUUGAUGAUCCCGCGUUGUAUUAGCUAGUUGGUAGUGUAAAGGACUACCAAGGCGAUGAUACAUAGCCGACCUGAGAGGGUGAUCGGCCACACUGGGACUGAGACACGGCCCAGACUCCUACGGGAGGCAGCAGUAGGGAAUCUUCGGCAAUGGGGGCAACCCUGACCGAGCAACGCCGCGUGAGUGAAGAAGGUUUUCGGAUCGUAAAACUCUGUUGUUAGAGAAGAACGUUAAGUAGAGUGGAAAAUUACUUAAGUGACGGUAUCUAACCAGAAAGGGACGGCUAACUACGUGCCAGCAGCCGCGGUAAUACGUAGGUCCCAAGCGUUGUCCGGAUUUAUUGGGCGUAAAGCGAGCGCAGGUGGUUUCUUAAGUCUGAUGUAAAAGGCAGUGGCUCAACCAUUGUGUGCAUUGGAAACUGGGAGACUUGAGUGCAGGAGAGGAGAGUGGAAUUCCAUGUGGU